GGGGCGUUAGCUCAGUUGGUAGAGCGCCACAAUGGCAUUGUGGAGGUCAGCGGUUCGACCCCGCUACGCUCCA
rnacentral:tRNA from 1 species